rnacentral:rRNA from 2 species
CAUGGACGAAAGUCUGAUGGAGCAACGCCGCGUGAGUGAAGAAGGGUUUCGGCUCGUAAAACUCUGUUGUUAAAGAAGAACAUAUCUGAGAGUAACUGUUCAGGUAUUGACGGUAUUUAACCAGAAAGCCACGGCUAACUACGUGCCAGCAGCCGCGGUAAUACGUAGGUGGCAAGCGUUGUCCGGAUUUAUUGGGCGUAAAGCGAGCGCAGGCGGUUUUUUAAGUCUGAUGUGAAAGCCUUCGGCUCAACCGAAGAAGUGCAUCGGAAACUGGGAAACUUGAGUGCAGAAGAGGACAGUGGAACUCCAUGUGUAGCGGUGAAAUGCGUAGAUAUAUGGAAGAACACCAGUGGCGAAGGCGGCUGUCUGGUCUGUAACUGACGCUGAGGCUCGAAAGUAUGGGUAGCAAACAGGAUUAGAUACCCUGGUAGUCCAUACCGUAAACGAUGAAUGCUAAGUGUUGGAGGGUUUCCGCCCUUCAGUGCUGCAGCUAACGCAUUAAGCAUUCCGCCUGGGGAGUACGGCCGCAAGGCUGAAACUCAAAGGAAUUGACGGGGGCCCGCACAAGCGGUGGAGCAUGUGGUUUAAUUCGAAGCUACGCGAAGAACCUUACCAGGUCUUGACAUACUAUGCAAAUCUAAGAGAUUAGACGUUCCCUUCGGGGACAUGGAUACAGGUGGUGCAUGGUUGUCGUCAGCUCGUGUCGUGAGAUGUUGGGGUUAAGUCCCGCAACGAGCGCAACCCUUAUUAUCAGUUGCCAGCAUUAAGUUGGGCACUCUGGUGAGACUGCCGGUGACAACC